rnacentral:lncRNA from 1 species
UGUCGAUCAAUGUUCGACAGUGAUCAAGAAUGCAUAGUUAGGAGAGUUCCAAGAGGAAACAGAGUCCUGGAAAUUUGCAAGGCUCUCUGUAGUUUGGGACAGCAAAAACAAAACAUAUGCCUCUCAUAUAAUUUGUUUUGUUCAAUUUAAAAACGUAUCUUCAAUCAUGGAAAUAGAUAAAUUGCCAUAGGCAUACUCCCAAACUAUGUGUGCCUCACAGAAGAGGCUCGACAAGAGUCAAAACAUAUGAACAACGAUGACCGGAGCAUCUGCAUGAUUUUAAUAGAAGGCAUGAGAAUAGAAAGUAUAGCUCUGCAUUUACCUUGCAUUAUGAUGCCACACAAUUAAUACAAAUUAACUGAAUUAAAAAAAUCAAGGCAACAUACUUCUUUCAGUGGUUGUAGCAUACACAUUGGGGUUGGUCUCUAACAGAGCACGUGAACUGAACUAACAAAGUUGAAAUAAGAUGAAGUCAAUUAGCAAAACCAUGUUUUAUCAGGGUGAUAAUAAAGAUACAAAUUUGACCUCAACGAUGAUGUAAGCCCUCACAUAUAUUUUAUGGCAGUUUAGUAUUAUGUUUCCCUUCUGGGAUAAUGGAAGGUUAUCUUGUCCCGGUAUUAUGCAUACAUCUAGUAUGACUCUCAGCCAUGCUUUUCUCAUGAACAGAUUGUUGCUAGAUAAUAUCCAAGUUUAGAAUCUAGAUUUAGAAGAUGAAACAGAGGUAGAAAUAGUAGGAAAUGCUUUUGACAGUUCACACCAACAGAGAUUCAUGUACACCAUGGUUGCUUAUAAACUGAUUCAUACCAUAGUCCAC